rnacentral:rRNA from 1 species
AUCGGGGUUGCGGACAGUGUCUGGUGGGUAGUUUGACUGGGGCGGUCUCCUCCUAAAGAGUAACGGAGGAGCACGAAGGUUGGCUAAUCCUGGUCGGACAUCAGGAGGUUAGUGCAAUGGCAUAAGCCAGCUUGACUGCGAGCGUGACGGCGCGAGCAGGUGCGAAAGCAGGUCAUAGUGAUCCGGUGGUUCUGAAUGGAAGGGCCAUCGCUCAACGGAUAAAAGGUACUCCGGGGAUAACAGGCUGAUACCGCCCAAGAGUUCAUAUCGACGGCGGUGUUUGGCACCUCGAUGUCGGCUCAUCACAUCCUGGGGCUGAAGUAGGUCCCAAGGGUAUGGCUGUUCGCCAUUUAAAGUGGUACGCGAGCUGGGUUUAGAACGUCGUGAGACAGUUCGGUCCCUAUCUGCCGUGGGCGCUGGAGAACUGAGGGGGGCUGCUCCUAGUACGAGAGGACCGGAGUGGACGCAUCACUGGUGUUCGGGUUGUCAUGCCAAUGGCACUGCCCGGUAGCUAAAUGCGGAAGAGAUAAGUGCUGAAAGCAUCUAAGCACGAAACUUGCCCCGAGAUGAGUUCUCCCUGACUCCCUGAGAGUCCUGAAGGAACGUUGAAGACGACGACGUUGAUAGGCCGGGUGUGUAAGCGCAGCGAUGCGUUGAGCUAACCGGUACUAAUGAACCGUGAG